AACGAACGCUGGCGGCAUGCCUAACACAUGCAAGUCGAACGAGACCUUCGUGUCUAUUUGCGCACGUGUGCGUAACGCGUUGGAACCUUCCCUUAGGUUCGGAAUAACUCCCCUAAAGGGGUGCUAAUACCGGAUAAUGUCUUCGGACCAAAGAUUUAUCGCCUUUUGAUGGGCCCGCGUUGGAUUAGCUUGUUGGUAGUGUAAAAGCAUACCAAGGCGACGAUCCAUAGAUGGUAUGAGAGAAUGAUCAGACACACUGGGACUGAGAAACGGCCGAGACUACUACGGGAGGGAGCAGAGGGGAAUAUAGGAAAAUGGGCGAAAGGAUGAUAAAGCAAUGACGGGAGAGUGAUGAAGGGAGGAGGGUAGUAAAGCUAUUUUAAAAGGGAAGAUAAUGACAGUACCGGGAGAAUAAGCAACGGCUAACUACGUG
rnacentral:rRNA from 1 species